rnacentral:rRNA from 1 species
UGGGGAAUAUUGGACAAUGGGGGAAACCCUGAUCCAGCAAUGCCGCGUGUGUGAAGAAGGCCUGAGGGUUGUAAAGCACUUUCAGUUGGGAGGAGGAUAUGCAGGUUAAGAGCCAGCAUAUUGGACGUUACCGACAGAAGAAGCACCGGCUAACUCCGUGCCAGCAGCCGCGGUAAUACGGAGGGUGCAAGCGUUAAUCGGAAUUACUGGGCGUAAAGGGUGCGUAGGUGGUUGAUUAAGUUAGGUGUGAAAUUCCUGGGCUUAACCUGGGCUGGAAACUUAAAACUGGUCGACUUGAGUAUGGGAGAGGGUAGUGGAAUUUCCGGUGUAGCGGUGAAAUGCGUAGAGAUCGGAAGGAACACCAGUGGCGAAGGCGGAUACCUGGCCUAAUACUGACACUGAAGCACGAAAGCGUGGGGAGCAAACAGG